rnacentral:rRNA from 1 species
GACGAACGCUGGCGGCGUGCCUAAUACAUGCAAGUAGAACGCUGAAGGAGGAGCUUGCUCUUCUGGAUGAGUUGCGAACGGGUGAGUAACGCGUAGGUAACCUGCCUGGUAGCGGGGGAUAACUAUUGGAAACGAUAGCUAAUACCGCAUAACAGUAGAUGUUGCAUGACAUUUGCUUAAAAGGUGCAAUUGCACCACUACCAGAUGGACCUGCGUUGUAUUAGCUAGUUGGUGGGGUAACGGCUCACCAAGGCGACGAUACAUAGCCGACCUGAGAGGGUGAUCGGCCACACUGGGACUGAGACACGGCCCAGACUCCUACGGGAGGCAGCAGUAGGGAAUCUUCGGCAAUGGACGGAAGUCUGACCGAGCAACGCCGCGUGAGUGAAGAAGGUUUUCGAAUCGUAAAGCUCUGUUGUAAGAGAAGAACGAGUGUGAGAGUGGAAAGUUCACACUGUGACGGUAUCUUACCAGAAAGGGACGGCUAACUACGUG